AAACGUAUUCAUUGAAGAAUCCGCUGCUAUUCACAGUUUUGCGUUGCAAGAAAAAAGCGGUAACUAUUGAAUUCGAUUUUUAUCAUGUGUGAAAAUGUUCAAAUAACUUUCAAGUCGUAUUAUGUUUAUGCAUUUAACAUUUUUCACUUUUUCUAUCUCAAUUUAUUCCGAUUGUUUGAUUAUCAUCUAAUUUAAAUCGAACAGCCACCAACUGUCACCAUUACGCUUUUCCCCGAAUAUUCCAAUCAUGUAAAUGUUUUUAGAUGGAAUCACUAUCCGAGGAUGUACACGAUCAAAGGGAAAGAUCUCUUUGAACACCGAUUCUUUUGCCAUUUGUAAGUCAGAUAAUUGCAAUGCACAGAUUUUCCCCGCCGAUCGUUUAAGUUGUUUACAUUGCAAAGGAGGUGGUUGUGCGAAUCAAUCAAAUUCGAUUGAAAUGAGAUAUACGUGUGUUAACUAUCAUCCAAAUGAUCGAUGCUAUAGCAUAAUCUCCCACGGUAUAUGGAAACAGAGAAUUGUUUUUUAAAUCGAAUUCUCAAACAUCAAAUCUAUUUCCAACAUUUAGAUGGCAGUAUGGCAUAUCGUGGUUGUAUGUCAGAUGAAGACAAAGUUGGCAAAGAUAUUUGUUCAAUGAAUUUCGCGCAGUGUCAUACAUGUUCAGAGCGAGCAUGCAAUUCAAAUCCUUUGAAAUUCGAGACAGCAAUAUCGUGCGUCAAAUGUAAUACAGAUGCAAAUUCUGACUGUAAUUUGAUUGACGAAAAUAUUGAAGCUGCUGAAUGUGCUGCAACGACUUUUGGUUAUAAAAAUGCUUGUUAUAUUUAUAAAAGCGAUGGAAUUGUCCAACGGGGUUAUUUGUAUGAAGUACCGGAUGAUAUUUUCAAUAAAUGCAACAAUGAAUUUGAUAACAAGUGUCUGCUAUGCAAGCACAAUAAUUGCAAUCGAAUGCCAAUAAUAAAUAGCAAUACAAUUGCCACCAAAAAUGAAAGAAACUACACAUCGGAAAGUGAAUCAAAUAUCCAACACGAAACAUGUAUUGAAUGCAAUUCAAACGAUGAUGACCGCUGUCGAACGAAACCUGAAGCACUCCAAGGGAAUGUUUGCAAACAGGGCCGUUCAACAGAAAGUGAAGGAUGCUAUUUAAACAUUGUAUGUAUAAUUUUCGCUCCUUUUGAUCGCAGAUUAUUUUUAUUCUAAUACACACUUUGUCAUCAAACAUGAAAACAAUAUGCGUUGGAAAUUCAAAUAACUGUAAAAGUUGCGUUGGUAAUAACUGUAAUUUCAAAGUCAAAUUCCAUGAGUGUUACAAUUGCAAUAGUAAGAUAGAUCCACAAUUGAUAGAAAUGGCUACAUCCAUCGACGAUGUACCAAUCAACAAAAAAGCUUCAAACGAGAAUUUUCCGAUAAUUUAAUUCUGUGCGACGAUGACAAAUGUAAUGUCAAAAUAUAUCCAAAAGGCAUUUUGAAGUGUUAUCAAUGCAAUGGCGAAAAAGAAUGUGAUUUAACCGAAGGAAGUAAAUUGAAACCACAACGAUGCACAAUGCUAUCGGAAUAUGAUCAAUGUUUUACGUAUGUUAAUCAAGAGAAGAAAAUAUUCCGAGGGUGUUUGAGUGAUCAAUCAGAGCCGCGGUUGCUUUGCGAUCGUGCUGAAAAACACGAAAAUGGGACGUGCGUAGUAGUGUAGAAAAGCCGAUUUCAUCCCGCAAUAUUUACUUCUAAAACACGAAGUAGGUGUAAAGCAAGAAAAACACACAUGCGCAUGAAUGAAACAGCUAAACACACACUCUCUCCUCUCUCCUCACACACUCACACACACACUCUCUCUCUCUCUCUCUCUCUAUCUCGCUCUUUUUUUCUCUCUCUCUCUCUCUCUCUCUCUCUCUCUCUCAUCAAGCAAUACAAGUAUGGCAACGGGCCUGCUCACCAUUGUAUAUUCAUAUGUUCAUAUCUUUACAUUCAAAGUAAAAAAAACACUGAGCUUUUAAAAUGUAAACAAAAAAUCUUAAAGCGAACUCAAGUAUUUUUCAUCGUUCAUUAAUCGCAGUGUGUAUUUUAUUUUUAAUCAGGAGAAUAAAUAGCUUUAGUAUGAAUAGUUGUCAUUUCAAAUCGAGAUAUGGAAACAUAUAAAUCGAAAUUCAAUAUUAACAUACUUUUAAAAUUAAAUUCACAAGCAAAACAAAUAUUUGAGAGCAUCACAAUGAAACUAAGAAGCGGACGUAUUAUCACAUAUAAAGAAGGAGAAAAAACAAGUAAUUUUGUAUUUAAUCAAGAAAACUCAAACAUUUCUAGUUAACAAUAAGCUAUUCAAGCAACAUCUGGAACGACAUCUAUAACAAUGAUGAGAAAGUUUGUUUCACUUUGUUUCGAGAAAAUACGUAAAAUCGUAAGAUUUGCUUGGAUUUUCAUCAUGUAUUCGCGUAUGAAAUAGCAAAUCACCAGAUUUUUCGAAUCAUUCAUUGCAUUGUCGACAUUUAUAUGCUGUACUUGAAGUGGUUUUUCAGUUGCUGUAGCCCGGGAUGGAAUGGUUUUCUCUUCGAUCAUUUCGACUGUAAACCAUUUCAGAAUGAGAGAAACCAAAACACGCUAACUAACCUCAUCUUGCAAGAGAUGAGAGAGCAUUCCCAUUAAAUAUCAUUUUCGAACCCGUUGAAUAAUGUGUGGAAUUGAGAUUGUGACCAAAAAGUUGACUGAAAGAUAUACAUAGGAAUUUUUUUUUGUUUUGAUUUGUGUUCGGAUGCUGGAAAGAUAAAUGAAAGACG